UAGGGAAUCUUCGGCAAUGGGGGCAACUCUGACCGAGCAACGCCGCGUGAGUGAAGAAGGUUUUCGGAUCGUAAAGCUCUGUUGUAAGAGAAGAACGUGUGUGAGAGUGGAAAGUUCACACAGUGACGGUAACUUACCAGAAAGGGACGGCUAACUACGUGCCAGCAGCCGCGGUAAUACGUAGGUCCCGAGCGUUGUCCGGAUUUAUUGGGCGUAAAGCGAGCGCAGGCGGUUUAAUAAGUCUGAAGUUAAAGGCAGUGGCUUAACCAUUGUUCGCUUUGGAAACUGUUAAACUUGAGUGCAGAAGGGGAGAGUGGAAUUCCAUGUGUAGCGGUGAAAUGCGUAGAUAUAUGGAGGAACACCGGUGGCGAAAGCGGCUCUCUGGUCUGUAACUGACGCUGAGGCUCGAAAGCGUGGGGAGCAAACAGG
rnacentral:rRNA from 1 species